rnacentral:rRNA from 1 species
CCUCUUCCCCCCACAUAUGUGUCGAGACCCUGCACAGACGCCCCCCGAAAUUGAAACGAACGCCUGGCGGCCAGCGCUUAACACCAUGCAAGUUGGAGCGCUACCCUCUUGUGUAACCGCCGCACCCGUUAGUAUACGCGGCGGGAAUAUAUCCAGUUUUAAGAGAUAGACCCAGGAAAAGCGGAGUAAUAACCCUUUUACGCCCUUUGGGGGGAAGAGUUUUUCUGGAAUUGGGUAUGCCCCCGCUAGAGUAUGAUAUUGUGGGGGUAUAGGCCAUCCAAGUGUAUGAUAUUUAGCUGGGUUGGGAGGGUGGUCCGCCCCACAUGGAAUGAGAGCACCGGCCCAGAAUCUCUUCCGGAAGCAGCAAGGGGGAAUUUUAGACCAUGGGGCCAAGCCUGAUCUAGGCAUGCCGCCUGAGUGAUGAAGGCCCUUAGGGUCGUAAAGCUCUUCAACUGUGAAGAUAAUGACCGUAGCAGUAGAAGAAACCCCGGCUAACUCGCGCAGCAGCCGCGGUAAUACGAGGGUGCAAGCGUUAAUCGGAAUUACUGGGCGUAAAGCGUGCGUAGGUGGUUUGUUAAGCAAGAUGUGAAAGCCCCGGGCUCAACCUGGGAACUGCAUUUUGAACUGGCAAACUAGAGUAUUGUAGAGGGUAGUGGAAUUUCCAGUGUAGCGGUGAAAUGCGUAGAGAUUGGAAGGAACAUCAGUGGCGAAGGCGGCUACCUGGACAAAUACUGACACUGAGGCACGAAAGCGUGGGGAGCAAACAGGAUUAGAUACCCUGGUAGUCCACGCCGUAAACGAUGUCAACUAGCCGUCUGUAGCCUUGAGCUGUGGGUGGCGCAGCUAACGCACUAAGUUGACCGCCUGGGGAGUACGGCCGCAAGGUUAAAACUCAAAUGAAUUGACGGGGGCCCGCACAAGCGGUGGAGCAUGUGGUUUAAUUCGAAGCAACGCGCAGAACCUUACCAACCCUUGACAUGCCUGGACAAUCCGAGAGAUCGGACUUUCCUUUCGGGACCAGUGCACAGGUGCUGCAUGGCUGUCGUCAGCUCGUGUCGUGAGAUGUCCGGUUAAGUCUGGCAACGAGCGCAACCCACAUCUUUAGUUGCCAGCAGGUUAGGCUGGGCACUCCUAGAGAAACUGGCUCGUGAUUAAGCCGGGAGGAAGUGUGGAUGACGUCCAGUUCCUCAUGGCCCUUACGGGUUGGGCUUACACCCUUGCUACAUGGCCAUGUGCAAUGGGUUAAUCCAAAAGCCGUGUCUCGUUUCGAUUGGGGUUCGCCAUCUGCACCCAUAAGAUUCGGAUCCCAAAUACUCGGAUACCACUAUGACGCGUAAAUGCUUUCCCGGCCUGUCACCCCCGCCCGUCAACACAUGGAAGUGGUUCUACUGGACAGCCUGCCUAACCUUCCGGAAGGCAGCGCCCGGGGUAGUAUCGCACGGGGGAAGUCUACAAGGACCGGAUAUCGAUUCGGUACCAUGCCCUGGAUCUGAUUCGGUGCUCAGUACGCAUAUACGUAGGUCAGAUGUA